GUGCAGCAGGCGCGAAAACUUUACAAUGUGCGAAAGCACGAUAAGGGAACUCUGAGUGCCUCCUAAGGAGGCUGUUCAGGUGUCUAAAAGCACCUGAAGGAAGGGCUGGGUAAGACCGGUGCCAGCCGCCGCGGUAACACCGGCAGCCCAAGUGGUAGCCACGUUUAUUGGGUCUAAAGCGUCCGUAGCCGGCUGGGUAAGUUCCUUGGGAAAUUUGGCUGCUUAACAGUCAAGCUUUCAGGGAAUACUGCUCGGCUUAGGACCGGGAGAGGUCAGAGGUACUCCAGGGGUAGGGGUGAAAUCCAUUAAUCCUUGGGGGACCACCGGUAGCGAAGGCGUCUGACCAGACCGGGUCCGACGGUGAGGGACGAAGGCUAGGGGCGCGAACCGGAUUAGAUACCC
rnacentral:rRNA from 1 species